rnacentral:rRNA from 1 species
CCUACGGGAGGCAGCAGUGAGGAAUAUUGGUCAAUGGACGAGAGUCUGAACCAGCCAAGUAGCGUGAAGGAUGACUGCCCUGUGGGUUGUAAACUUCUUUUAUAUGGGAAUAAAAUGUUCCACGUGUGGGAGUUUGUAUGUACCAUAUGAAUAAGCAUCGGCUAACUCCGUGCCAGCAGCCGCGGUAAUACGGAGGAUCCGAGCGUUAUCCGGAUUUAUUGGGUUUAAAGGGAGCGUAGGUGGGUUGUUAAGUCAGUUGUGAAAGUGUGCGGCUCAACCGUAAAAUUGCAGUUGAAACUGGCAGUCUUGAGUACAGUAGAGGUGGGCGGAAUUCGUGGUGUAGCGGUGAAAUGCUUAGAUAUCACGAAGAACGCCGAUUGCGAAGGCAGCUCACUGGACUGAAACUGACACUGAGGCUCGAAAGUGUGGGUAUCAAACAGGAUUAGAUACCCGAGUAGUC